AUUGAACGCUGGCGGAAUGCUUUACACAUGCAAGUCGAACGGCAGCACGGGGCAACCUGGUGGCGAGUGGCGAACGGGUGAGUAAUAUAUCGGAACGUGCCCAAUCGUGGGGGAUAACGUAGCGAAAGUUACGCUAAUACCGCAUACGAUCUACGGAUGAAAGCGGGGGAUCGCAAGACCUCGCGCGAAUGGAGCGGCCGAUAUCAGAUUAGGUAGUUGGUGGGGUAAAGGCUCACCAAGCCAACGAUCUGUAGCUGGUCUGAGAGGACGACCAGCCACACUGGAACUGAGACACGGUCCAGACUCCUACGGGAGGCAGCAGUGGGGAAUUUUGGACAAUGGGCGCAAGCCUGAUCCAGCCAUUCCGCGUGCAGGAUGAAGGCCUUCGGUUGUAAACUGCUUUGUACGGAACGAACGGUACUGCCCUAAUACGGCGGGCUAAUGACGGUACCGUAAGAAUAAGCACCGGCUAACUACGUGCCAGCAGCCGCGGUAAAAUCACG
rnacentral:rRNA from 1 species